UAACCCCUUACUGAAGUAAGGGGCUUGAAGCGCAAGCUUCAGGUCUCUUAUCUUUAGCAGGGAGGCUGGAGAAAUCCAGCUUUCAUUGUCUAGACUAAGCUAUCCAAUCGGCUUCGGCUGACUGGAUAGAGGAACUACGUUAUCCAUGUCAUCACACCCAAGGAUGAUGCCCAAGUCUUUGGCUCUGU
rnacentral:sRNA from 1 species